UCGGACGGGAUCCAUCGGAGAGCUUGCUCGAAGAUGGUGAGAGUGGCGCACGGGUGCGUAACGCGUGAGCAACCUACCUCUAUCAGGGGGAUAGCCUCUCGAAAGAGAGAUUAACACCGCAUAACAUCAACAGUUCGCAUGUUCAGUUGAUUAAAUAUUUAUAGGAUAGAGAUGGGCUCGCGUGACAUUAGCUAGUUGGUAGGGUAACGGCUUACCAAGGCGACGAUGUCUAGGGGCUCUGAGAGGAGAAUCCCCCACACUGGUACUGAGACACGGACCAGACUCCUACGGGAGGCAGCAGUAAGGAAUAUUGGUCAAUGGGCGGAAGCCUGAACCAGCCAUGCCGCGUGCAGGAUGACUGCCCUAUGGGUUGUAAACUGCUUUUGUCCAGGAAUAAACCUAGAUACGUGUAUCUAGCUGAAUGUACUGGAAGAAUAAGGAUCGGCUAACUCCGUGCCAGCAGCCGCGGUAAUACGGAGGAUCCGAGCGUUAUCCGGAUUUAUUGGGUUUAAAGGGUGCGUAGGCGGCCUAUUAAGUCAGGGGUGAAAUACGGUGGCUCAACCAUCGCAGUGCCUUUGAUACUGAUGGGCUUGAAUCCAUUUGAAGUGGGCGGAAUAAGACAAGUAGCGGUGAAAUGCAUAGAUAUGUCUUAGAACUCCGAUUGCGAAGGCAGCUCACUAAGCUGGUAUUGACGCUGAUGCACGAAAGCGUGGGGAUCGAACAGGAUUAGAUACCCUGGUAGUCCACGCCCUAAACGAUGAUAACUCGAUGUUGGCGAUAGACAGCCAGCGUCCAAGCGAAAGCGUUAAGUUAUCCACCUGGGGAGUACGCCCGC
rnacentral:rRNA from 1 species